rnacentral:rRNA from 1 species
UAGAGUAAUGCGUGACCAACCUGCCCCAUGCUCCAGAAUAGCUCUUGGAAACGGGUGGUAAUGCUGGAUGCUCCAACUUGACGCAUGUCUUGUUGGGAAAGUGUUUAGUGGCAUGGGAUGGGGUCGCGUCCUAUCAGCUUGUAGGCGGGGUAAUGGCCCACCUAGGCUUCGACGGGUAGCCGGCCUGAGAGGGCGGACGGCCACAUUGGGACUGAGAUACGGCCCAGACUCCUACGGGAGGCAGCAGCG